UGUUGGUGAGGUAACGGCUCACCAAGGCGACGACGGGUAGCCGGCCUGAGAGGGUGACCGGCCACACUGGGACUGAGACACGGCCCAGACUCCUACGGGAGGCAGCAGUGGGGAAUAUUGCACAAUGGGCGCAAGCCUGAUGCAGCAACGCCGCGUGAGGGACGACGGCCUUCGGGUUGUAAACCUCUUUUAGUAGGGAAGAAGCGAAAGUGACGGUACCUGCAGAAAAAGCACUGGCUAACUACGUGCCAGCAGCCGCGGUAAUACGUAGGGUGCAAGUGUUGUCCGGAAUUAUUGGGCGUAAAGAGCUCGUAGGCGGUCUGUCGCGUCUGCUGUGAAAACCCGAGGCUCAACCUCGGGCCUGCAGUGGGUACGGGCAGACUAGAGUGCGGUAGGGGAGAUUGGAAUUCCUGGUGUAGCGGUGGAAUGCGCAGAUAUCAGGAGGAACACCGAUGGCGAAGGCAGAUCUCUGGGCCGUAACUGACGCUGAGGAGCGAAAGCGUGGGGAGCGAACAGGAUUAGAUACCCUGGUAGUCCACGCCGUAAACGUUGGGCGCUAGAUGUGGGGACCAUUCCACGGUUUCCGUGUCGCAGCUAACGCAUUAAGCGCCCCGCCUGGGGAGUACGGAAUCUCUAGAGGAUCCCC
rnacentral:rRNA from 1 species